UACGUAGGGUGCAAGCGUUGUCCGGAAUUAUUGGGCGUAAAGAGCUCGUAGGCGGUCUGUCGCGUCGGCUGUGAAAACCUGGGGCUCAACUCCGGGCCUGCAGCCGAUACGGGCAGACUAGAAUUCGGUAGGGGAGACUGGAAUUCCUGGUGUAGCGGUGAAAUGCGCAGAUAUCAGGAAGAACACCCGUGGCGAAGGCGGCUCUCUGGAACGCAACUGACGCUGAGACGCGAAAGCGUGGGGAGCAAACAGG
rnacentral:rRNA from 1 species